CCACGACAAGCAUGGACAGGACUAUUUAUGCCAGAGAAACAGAAAUGUGAGGGUGUUUGAAAUUUUUUGCAUAAUUUUACAGGGCCUCCCUCUUUACAGCCAUUUAAGUUACUCUUCAGAUAUGCACCCCCAUCUCCAGCAGUAUUUUCUGUCCCCCUAUGCCUUGGUUGCACACAAGAUUUACACAACUGGGACCUCAAAUUCUUUCUGAUAUUUAUUUAGUACCUCUAGCAGCAUGACUCUGAAGAUGGUCAAGAUAAAUGAAGGAUUCUGCCCAUUCUAACACAAUGCUGGGGAUAAAUACAGAUGACAAAGAGGCAGCCAGGAGAAGACAAAGAUGCUAGUUGCAGCCUCCCUGAGGGACAGCCCCCACCGAGGUCUGCAUGCCUCCCUGCACCCUGGCUCACAGGGUGCCAGGCUCCAGCAGCACCCUGCUGCUCUCCAUUGUGAGUUGUUGAAUCAUAAUGUCAUGACUGGCACUCAGAAUAAACAACUUCAAGUUAUGUCUGUUUUUAUCAGAAGCACGUUUCAUACAAAAAAAUGAGAAGCCUGUGCACAUCAGCUAGCAGACACAAAAAGAAAAAGAGCAGUGGGAGGAGUGAGGAGACUAGUUGUAACACUUAGCACUGAAUGAUCAAGGCCAGACUUACAGCAGUGAGCGUGGAGGGAGGAGAGACCAUUUGAAAAAGGAGGACUGAGACAAUCUAGUGAGGAGCCUAACUGUUCCCUGGUUUCUGGCUUUGCAUUCACAAGACCAGGAUGCACAGAGGAGUGAGAGAUAAAAGGGGGCUCGCCACAGGCACACUGAGCUUGACAUCCCUGUGGGAAACCCAAGAUAUGUACACAGUGCACACUGGGAGUCACCAGCACACCAUGACACCUGAACACACAGAAAUAAAAUCAGUUUCCCAAGGAAAACCUGCAGAAUCAGUUGUUCAUGUCAUUAGAUGCAAUAGAUGCUAUUAGAUGCUAUAAACAAAUGACAAAACUCAACAUCAACACAGAAUUUUAAAACCGUUUAGAAAACAGCAAUGGAGAAUCCCUAAUUUAAAAAAAAAAAAAAGAAAAACACCUAUCUCAACCAAAAUUUAACAUUACACUCACACAGCAAAACUCUCAGAGGCAUUCUAAUUAAACUAAAAAGCAAAAUAAGCACAUCACCACUGCUAUUAUUUAAUAUAUAGUUAGAUUUUUCCUGCUAAUGUGAUAAGAUUUAAAAAUAAAAAGUGAACUCUAUAGUUCAAUGAAAGAGUUAAAGUCCAGAGGAAUUUUCUAAGAACUAGUGGAAUCAGUUAAAAACAUUUGUAUAAAAUCAGUAAGAAAAAAGUAUAUAAACAUAUUAAUGUCACCAACAUUCCUGUACAUCAACAAAACAAAAAGCAUGAAUUAGAGAUAAAUGAUACAAAACCUACUUAACAACUUUUAAUGAAAAACAUUUAGUGAUUUUAGAGUAUACCUGAAUGCUAUAAGUUGUGUCCUCCCCAAAUUAAAGCAUAUAUUUAAAUGUAAUUCCAAUGAAAGUCUAAGCAAGGUUCUUUUACUUGACAAAAUGAUUCUAAAAUUAUAUAUACAAAUGAAUGCGAUCAAAUAAAAAUGUUGGAGAAGAAGCAAUUGAGAGAUGAGUCCUCUGAAAUAUUAAAAAUUAUAAGGUAAUAAUAAUUAUUAAACAGCAAGGUACAGGUCUAUAAGACUGAAAGACAAUCCAGAAAUUGACUGGCUUAUACAGAAGAGUCUACCAGCCAAUAGAAGCAGCAGCCCAAAAUUAUAAGAAAGGGACAAGUUAUUCAAUAAUGGGCAUUGGGAUAACUUUGGCUAACAAUUUGGGGAAAAAAAUCAAUUAAGACUCAGUUCAUUCAUCAAAAUAAAUUCCAAUGCAUAAAAAUGUUAAAUG